CUGAGCCCCCUCUCUCCUGCAGUUCCACCAGAGAUGCUGCAAGGGAAUCCCCAGCAGGGUGCGAGGUAAAGUGUGGAAAAUACUUCUGGAUGUGGAAGCAAAGAAGGCCCAGAACCCGGGGAUAUUUGAGAUGCUGAAAGAGCAGGCCCGGCUGCAUUGCGAUCAAUUCCACCUGAUUGACAUUGCGGUGCAGUGGACGUUCCCAAAUCACCUGCUUUUCAGAGAGUGCUAUGGAAUGAAACAACGGGCCUUAUUUGAAGUGCUGGCAGCCUAUGCGAUGUACAAUCCCGUGAGUAUUCUCAAAUGCCUUU